rnacentral:miRNA from 1 species
ACCGAUCUUAAAAGUGACCUUUUAAGAUCGGUUGUUUUAUAACCGAUCUUAAAAGUACUUUUAAGAUCGGU